CUGCGCCUGCGCAAAAAAGUCGUCAAUGUUCAUUUCCGGUCUUUUUCGCCCCGCCCUUCAAAUGCGAAAGCGACUGCCUUCUUGGAAUAAAAUACUUGGUCAGUGGAAUCUCUUCAACAAAAUAGAAGAGAAGCAGUCAUGGAGUGAAGAAAUAAAUCAUCUUUGUUUCUACUCAUCUGUCACUUAUGCAAUACAUACAAUAUGUAAAAAGGAAAAAUCCCUGUGUAAUAGCCUAAGGCAACCAGCAGCUUCCACAUCGGUUGGAUAUUAAUAAAUUUUUUUCUUUACUGUAAAAUAUACCCAUCAGCUUUUUUUUUUUUUUUUUUUUUUGAGAUGGAGUCUUGCACUGUCACCCAGGCUGGAGUGCAGUGGUGCAAUCUCCACCCACUGCAAGCUCUGCCUCCUGGGUUCACACCAUUCUCCUGCCUCAGCCUCCCAAGUAGCUGGGACUACAGGCGCCCGCCACCACACCCGGCUAGUUUUUUGUACUUUUAGUAGAGACGAGGUUUCACCAUAUUAGCCACGAUGGUCUCGAUCUCCUGACCUCGUGAUCCACCUGCCUCGGCCUCCCAAAGUGC